ensembl:lncRNA
GGUAGAUGUUUAACCAGACCACCCUACACCAACCUAGUCCAGCUGGUAGAUACCACCCUAGACCAGCCUAGUUCAGCUGCUAGAUAUUUAACCAGACCACCCUAGACCAGCCUAGUUCAGCUAAGGAAGGGCUUAGCUUGUUUUUUUCCGAUAGUGUGAACCAGGUUAACAUGCACAGGAAUGGCAUGUAAAUGUGGUAGCUGGGGGAGGGGGGAGGCGUGGCUUUACGGUACAUGUUUGCUAUCAUUGGGGGGGCGUGGCUUUACGGUACAUGUUUGCUGUCAUUGGGGGAGGCGUGGCUUUACGGUACAUGUUUGCUAUCAUUGGGGGGGAGGCGUGGCUUUACGGUACAUGUUUGCUGUCAUUGGUUAAUCAUCGUAAGUGUGAUUAUCCUUUUUGCUUCAUGCAUGUCUGUAAUAUAGUGUAGUUUAACCGUAGAGCAGGACUCUACUGAUGCUAUGCUUAGGCUGGACUGCACUGAGACACCCAUGGCAGUAUUGGAGAGGGGUUGAAUCAUAUCAGAUUAACACCCUAUAAUAAAACUGUAUUGGAGAGGGGUUGAAUCAUUUAGAUGAACACCCUAUAAUAAAACUGUAUUGGAGAGGGGUUGAAUCAUAUCAGAUGAACACCCUAUAAUAAAACUGUAUUGGAGAGGGGUUGAAUCAUAUCAGAUGAACACCCUAUAAUAAAACUGUAUUGGAGAGGGGUUGAAUCAUUUAGAUGAACACCCUAUAAUAAAACUGUAUUGGAGAGGGGUUGAAUCAUUUAGAUGAACACCCUAUAAUAAAACUGUAUUGAAGAGGGGUUGAAUCAUUUAGAUGAACACCCUAUAAUAAAACUGUAUUGGAGAGGGGUUGAAUCAUAUCAGAUGAACACCCUAUAAUAAAACUGUAUUGGAGAGGGGUUGAAUCAUAUCAGAUGAACACCCUAUAAUAAAACUGUAUUGGAGAGGGGUUGAAUCAUAUCAGAUGAACACCCUAUAAUAAAAUAAUAUAUCAACU